UGAUCUUGCACACGCAGUCCUGAUAGUUUUUUCCAAACAGCUGCAUGCCGACCACAGCGAAGAUGAAGACGAUGAUGGCCAAGACCAGCGUCAGGUUCCCCAAAGCACCCACGGAGUUACCAAUGAUCUUUAUCAGUGUGUUGAGGGAUCAAAACUUACCAGUCUGAACGAGCGAAGGACAGACAGACCCUCCACAUUGGAAAGGCCCAACUCCAUCAGACUCAAACUAACGAUAAUUCCAUCAAAGAUGUUCCAGCCUUGCUGAAAGUAAUAGUACGGAUCCAGAGCAAAGAUCUUCAGCAUCAUUUCCGCUGUGAAGAUUCCAGUGAACACCUGGUUUCCAACACUCAGCAUGCUGUUGAAUUCAUCAGUCAUGGGAUAGUGCUCCAGUGCCAUGAACAAUGUGUUGAGAACAAUGCAAAUGGUAAUUGCAAGGUCCAAGAAGGGGUCCAUCACCAUGACUUUAAGUGCGUCCUUCACUCUCAGCCAGGCUGGAGAACACGUCCAAAUCAGGCUUCUGCGAUGGUCGCCUGGUUUUGCUCCUCAUAUGCCAUGGCCACGACAGCCAGGAUCAAGUUCACCAGGUUUUAAUAGAGCCUGAACAUGGACAUAGUGGAGGGAUUUUCAGAGCCUGUGGCAUUUGGGGACAAAACAAGAUAUCUGAACUGUCCAGUCAGAGGAGACUCUGCGUCACAACACAAACGACUGAGACAGGACUGGAAACCUGCGUGCAUCAUGACCGCGGACACUCAAACAUCUGUGCAUGCAGCUGUCACAUGAUGACAAAUCACUGCGCUCUUAUUUCAUUUGGGGAAUUAGAAGAGGAAUAUCAGCGGAUUUGGUUGGCGAUGCCAGGGAAGAACAUUACAGAGCUGUUUCAGAGAUGAGACCAAAUCCAAUAGAACUCUGAUGGUAAAUAUUUCAGAUUCGC